UACGUAGGGGCCUAGCGUUGUCCGGAUUUAUUGGGCGUAAAGAGCUCGUAGGCGGUUCGGCAAGUCGGAUGUGAAAUCUCCACGCUUAACGUGGAGGGGCCAUUCGAAACUGCCGUGACUCGAGUCCGGUAGGGGAGUGUGGAAUUCCCGGUGUAGCGGUGAAAUGCGCAGAUAUCGGGAGGAACACCAGUAGCGAAGGCGGCACUCCUGGGCCGGUACUGACGCUGAGGAGCGAAAGCG
rnacentral:rRNA from 1 species